UACGUAGGGGGCUAGCGUUGUCCGGAAUCAUUGGGCGUAAAGAGCGCGUAGGCGGCCAGAUAAGUCCGGUGUGAAAGUCAAAGGCUCAACCUUUGAAUGCCGCUGGAAACUGUCUGGCUAGAGUCCGGGAGGGGCGAGUGGAAUUCCUGGUGUAGCGGUGAAAUGCGCAGAUAUCAGGAGGAACACCAAUGGCGAAGGCAGCUCGCUGGAACGGAACUGACGCUGAGGCGCGAAAGCGUGGGGAGCGAACAGG
rnacentral:rRNA from 1 species